GCCCCGAUGGUGAAACGGAUGAUCAUGCCUCGGUUCUAACGAGAUGUUCCGGGUUCAAGUCCUGGUCGGGGCA
rnacentral:tRNA from 1 species